rnacentral:rRNA from 1 species
AUGACCUUGGGGACCUUUGAAGUUCAGUCAGCAUACGUGUUAAAGCCUAGGAGGGAAAUCAAUAAAUACACACCCGAAGACUUCACCGAAAGAGGCAAGAGGAUGGUCGGCACCUCGCGGAUGGCAGUUUUGAAUGACUAUGUGGAUGACGUGGAUGAAGUGGAGGAAUCGGAGCCGGAGCCGGAGCAGGUUGCUCUUCCUAGGAAGGUGAAGAAGAUAGCCAACAGGAGGGGGGGGAGGAGCCAGAAAGCGGGCGCCACUCAAAAAGGUCAGGCGCGUGAAAUAGUUUUAGGAGAAGUUCAUUUUGUGAAUUCAUUGCGUCCACUGGUCAAAAUUGUCAAUUUUGUCGCCCGCACCACCCCUUGCUCUCGAAGAUUCAUCUACGCCAUGCUCCUCACCCUUAUCCUCUCCUUGGCGACCAUGGCUGCUUCUUCUUCUUCAUCACAGCCAGACAAAGUGUUGUCACUGAUUCUUUGCGCCAAAUGGUUGGAUAAGGUGGUCACCAUCGUCUCUCGUGGCGGUACUCGGUACUACAAGUGCGUCAGGAAAAAUGCUGGGCUAUGCCAGUUCAUGAGAUCCACCGAGACGUACCUGCCGGAGCUGACUCGUCAUGGCCUGUUGCAGCCAUACGUGCUACAGGCUGCAGCACUCCCUUGUUGUCCACUCGUCCGGUCCUCUCCAACAGAGACUAAGGCGAGAGCACAACUUCGACGACGGCGGAUAGGCGGAGAUUCAGCCUGCCCAUGUAAGCAACCAGCCACUGCUGCAGCAGUCCACUGUUGCCCGCGCGAUGCCUCAAUGCUGCUCCACUGA